rnacentral:snRNA from 1 species
UUAUCUAGGACCGAUCACUC